CGCCGCCCGGCUGCUCAUCAGCAAGAAGCGCGUGCUCGUGAGGACGAUCCCCAUCCAUAGUUCACGAAGGGCUGCCAGACUGCUUGCGCGCUUGGCCGUCGGCAAGGAGGGUAUACAUACAUCUUCAUCUCCAUCUGAGAGGACUAGCAAACAACAGGAGAUGUCAUCGUCCACGACAUCCAUGGGCUGGCUGACGACUGGAUGACGCGGCUGCCGAGUGUACACUGGCGGACGUUAAAGCCUGGAAGAUGAGCUCGGUACGACCACCCUCUGUGCGUGCGUAUAGCUGUCGGCCAAGUUACGACGGCGGCGGCGAGGCACAUGCCAUACGUACACCGUUAGCAUAUGUAUAUGUGCAACGAUUCAGAAGACAUGCAAGUGCAAGAAGCAAACACGUUCGAGCGGGUGUAUGUGUGGAUAUAUAUGUUCUGGCCAUGCAUGCAUCUACACAUGUACGUGCAAGCGCCGUGAUGUGGUUGUGUACAUGUACAUGCGCACAUAUACAAGCUAUGCAUCCACGUACGAUGAAGAUUCAAGCAAGGCGACGUACAAGCCUUCAUCCACUACUUCAACAACUCCACGCGAUCAAGCUCAUGACGUACCACGACGACGCUGCCGAGGAAGUCCGAGGCGAUUCAAGCGACACCAACCAUGCAAGUGCGAUUAUGAUGACACCACGCAGAGUUCGACACCGACAAGGCGAACGACGCAGGCGGGCAUGGCUGAUAUUCCAGUCAUGUUGUACCGGCUCAUGGACCGACGAGGCCCUCACGCCAACGCCACCUACAUCUACACC